rnacentral:rRNA from 1 species
AACGAACGCUGGCGGCGCGCCUAACACAUGCAAGUCGAACGAGAAUCCGGGGCAACCCGGUAGUAAAGUGGCAAACGGGUGAGGAAUACAUGGGUAACCUACCCUUGAGAAGGGAAUAACCCGCCGAAAGGUGAGCUAAUACCCUAUACGCUAUCUUUUUUUCGAAAAGGAUAGGAAAGCCGGGUCGAGGACCUGGUACUCAAGGAGGGGCUCAUGUCCUAUCAGCUUGUUGGUGGGGUAACGGCCUACCAAGGCUACGACGGGUAGCUGGUCUGAGAGGAUGAUCAGCCACACUGGCACUGAGAUACGGGCCAGACUCCUACGGGAGGCAGCAGUGAGGAAUAUUGCGCAAUGGGCGAAAGCCUGACGCAGCGACGCCGCGUGGGGGAUGAAGGUUUUCGGAUUGUAAACCCCUUUCAUGAGGAAAGAUAAAGUGGGUAACCACUUAGACGGUACCUCAAGAAGAAGCCACGGCUAACUUCGUGCCAGCAGCCGCG